GAUUCCCUAGUACUGCGAGUGAAGCGGGAAAAGCUCAAAUUUGAAAUCUGGCGCAAGCCCGAGUUGUAAUCUAGAGAAGCGUUUUCGGCCGUUGCCUCGGACAAGUCCCUUGGAACAGGGCGUCAUAGAGGGUGAGAAUCCCGUCCUUGCCGAGCAACCAACGUCCUUGUGAUGCGCUCUCGAAGAGUCGAGUUGUUUGGGAAUGCAGCUCAAAAUGGGUGGUAAAUUCCAUCUAAAGCUAAAUAUUGGCGAGAGACCGAUAGCGAACAAGUACCGUGAGGGAAAGAUGAAAAGCACUUUGGAAAGAGAGUUAAACAGUACGUGAAAUUGCUGAAAGGGAAGCGCUUGAAGUCAGUCGCGUCUGCAGGGACUCAGCCUUAACCGGUGCAUUUCCUUGUCGACGGGCCAACAUCGAUUUAGCGCGUAGGAAAAGGGCUCGAGGAAUGUGGCAGCCUCGGCUGUGUUAUAGCCUCUUGUCGUACACUACGGGUUGGAUCGAGGACCGCGGCUUCGUGCCUAGGAUGUUGGCGUAAUGGCUUUAAGCGACCCGUCUUGAAACACGGGACCA
rnacentral:rRNA from 1 species